ACCAGACUCCUACGGGAGGCAGCAGUGGGGAAUAUUGCACAAUGGGGGAAACCCUGAUGCAGCGACGCCGCGUGAGUGAAGAAGUAUUUCGGUAUGUAAAGCUCUCUCAGCAGGGAAGAAAAUGACGGUACCUGAUUAAGAAGCCCCGGCUAACUACGUGCCAGCAGCCGCGGUAAUACGUAGGGGGCAAGCGUUAUCCGGAUUUACUGGGUGUAAAGGGAGCGUAGACGGUGAUGCAAGUCAGAAGUGAAAGCCCGGGGCUCAACUCCGGGACUGCUUUUGAAACUGUGUGACUGGAGUGCAGGAGAGGUAAGCGGAAUUCCUGGUGUAGCGGUGAAAUGCGUAGAUAUCAGGAGGAACACCAGUGGCGAAGGCGGCUUACUGGACUGUAACUGACGUUGAGGCUCGAAAGCGUGGGGAGCAAACAGGAUUAGAUACCCGAGUAGA
rnacentral:rRNA from 1 species